UGGUUUAGUGGUAAAAUUCGUCGUUGCCAUCGACGAGCCCCCGGUUCGAUUCCGGG
rnacentral:tRNA from 1 species